AUCCUCCACGGGUCUCAGCCACACCGGCUUCAUCGCUCACCACACCAGUCAGUCCUGGUGAGGGGUGCUGGGCCUGUGCUGCAGAGGUCUGAGCGGCUGAGCCCGAGCACUGCUGAGAUGACCGAGAUGUUCCCUGGGGGCCCAGCGUGUGCGAGCCCAGCCCGGACACACCCGCAUUCCUGUUCAGUGCCACUGCCCCGAGGCCCCCUAAUCUGCAGUUGAACAUCCCACCCUGGGCUGGGCCCCGUCAUGCCGGCUGAAGCCUUAAUCAGUUGAUUCAUCGCUAGUUAAUUAAGCAGGAGUGUUUAUGGAAUAAUCGUCACCGGGGAACCAGGGAAGGUACCUCUGCCCGGGGUUUGGGUGGGGGUGUGCUCUCCCUUCAGGUGGUGCCUGACCCCCCAGGCUGGGGCAGAAGCGAUAAGACUUUGGGGGACCCACUGACGACAAGGUGGAUGCUGGCGGCAGGAACGUGGAUGCCCACCACAGCGUGGUUCACACCAUAGGGUGCAGGCGGGGCCCCCAAAGGUCUCCGCUCCACACCUGCUGAGCAAGGGGGCCUUCAGGGCUUCAGAGAAGGAGUCGGUCCCAGGAGACCAGGGUCCCCCAAGGGCAGGGGCCCUGCCAGAACCCCCGAGACCAGGGAGCAGACCCCUGCCUGCGGCUCCCGCCAGGCCUGAGUCCCCACAGGCUUUGGGCUUCAUUAGCAGGCGCACAGGUUUGGACCUGCUGAGGCCCUGCGGUGUGGGGCUGGAGCCCUGGGCCCUGCCGGGACCAGGGGUGUCCAGGCCGGGUUUUUGAGGGUCAAGGGUGUCCCUGGGCUACAACAGCCCAGGGAGGAUGGCAAGUGGCUUUGCCUUAGUACUCUACUUGGAGCUCCUGCUCUGCCUUUCAAGGGUCCCAGGGGCCCGGCUACCCUGGUCCGCUGUGAGUUCUGGGAGGCAUCGUUGGAUGCUGUCCCCACGGGCAGCUGGACCCACGAUGGGAAGCCACCAGGAGGACCCUGGAGUGCUGGGGAGCCCAUCUGCGCAGAGCUGGGGGGGUUGCUGUACCCUGCAGGGAGGGAGGCCGCGUGGCGGAGGAGCCGGGGCGGGGGGCGGGGUUCCCUCCAUGCCCGCCCAGGUGCCGGUCCUGAGUCUCCGCCUGGAUUUGAGGGACAGCAAGGACACGUUGGAGGCUCCAGCAAGAUGGAGUGGUCAAAAAGAAUCCCCAGUACUCUGUGUUUCAGCCACUGAGGUGAAACGCACACGUCCUGGAGAGUUCAGUGUGUUAACGGUGCGGUGCCACCUCCCGCUCUUCCUAGUUCCAGAACAUUCCAUCACCCCACAGGGAACCUGUCCCCACUAGCUCUCACUCUCUGCCCCCCUCCCCCAGCCCCUGGCAGCCACUAGUCCAUGGUCUGUCCACAUUUGCCUGCGGUGGACACAGGCAACCCAGGUCCUGGAACCAGGUCCCGCAACCCUCGUCCUCUUCCGUUGGCUUCUGUCCCCGAGCGCCCCACCUGUGCCAUUCACCCACGUGGUAGCAGGUGUGGAGGUUCUGCUCCUCUUCUCGGCCAGAGGGAUGUGUCACUGUACGGAUGGGCCACACCUUGUUUAUCCGCGCGUGAGUUAGUGGAUGUUUGGGUUGUUUCUUCCCGUGGGCAGCCGUGAGCCCGUGCGUGUCUGUCAGAGGGCCCUCCUCUCUCUGGGGUGUGCCGAGCCGUGUGUGACCUGAUGGUCUGAGGAACUGGGGUGCGCCUGGCUGGGAGCUGCGCCCGCAUGGGGUCCGUGGUGCUGCCAGCAGCCAUCUACGCUCCACGUGGAACUGGCCGUCUCCAGAGGGCCCUGAUGCCAAGCUCAGCCCUUGUCCGUUUUGCCCGCCCCACCUGGAGGGCUGGAGAUGGUGUCCACGAGUGGUGCAGAGGAAUGGGGGCCGCGGGGAAGCGUCGGGGAAGCCCCGUCACGCGUGUGUCUCCAGUAAGAACACGCAAGAUGCAUAAUCACACAGACUGAACCGGGGGGCCGAGAGGGCACGGGGUGGGGGUGGGUAGGGGGCAGCAAAAGUGGCCUCUCGACUCCUGCCAGCCCCGUCAGCCCGGCCUCGGCCUGGACCCUGUCUCACUCCCUCCCCGUGAGGGUUUCUGCCGGAACUUUCCCGCGUCUUCUCGUACACGUGCGUCAAGCCACGUCCUAGAGGAGCGAGCCUCCACGUGGUAGCUGUUUUCACGAACAGUGGUCUCUGUCUGCUCAGGAUGUGUUUCUGCGCCAGUGCCGGCGGCCCCGCUGCAGCCUCGCACCCUGUCCGUGGACGCGGUCUGAUGUUCAGGGGCCCCGCGUGGUACUUCCUGGCUCGCCCCGGGGCCCGCAGCCUCACUGGUUCCCAGGAACCGCCCGGCUCUUGGUGGGUGUGUGGGCGGAGCGCCCGGGAGGGGCUGGACUCGGGGAAGGCCACACCGUGACUGAGACGUGGGCUGGUUCUUGGGGUCUCCCGUGCUGCCCACGGGGCCCCAGGGCCUGGUCUGCGGCUGGCUCGGGCCUGCGUGGGGUGUUUCUUCCGGCCCCACAGCUGUUCUGUCUGCAGCCACCCACUCAGCCGUGUGGGGUACAGUAGACGUCUGCUGUCAGUGGCCCAGAAUUGUUUUCCCUUGUAGGAUGGGCUUUCUCCCCCAUGAAUAAACAUACGCUCUUCUCCUGGAGCAAAAUGGAAGAGCAAGCUUGAAUGCUCAGGAGAAUGAAGGCUGGGGGGCGGGGGCGGCAGGCCCUGUGUGCACAGCGGCACGGAAGGCCCCACACCACCUCCCCCAGGGCUGGGAAGGGCUUGCCCCCAUCAGCGGUCCAACCGGAGUGGGGCCCUUGGCCCGGCAUGUGGGACCUCCAUCGGCCGCUGUGUGUCUGUGGUCUGUGGGGCAGGCGCGUGCACCUGUGGAGCCCCUGGACUGGCUGAGCUGACCCCUACACCCCAUGUGCCCAUGCAGGCCACUUGUCCACACUACCCAGGAAGACUGAAGGCCCAUCGGGGUCCGAGGCUGGUGUCUGAGGGCCUCGCAUGGGGGUCUGGGCUGAGCACUCCCCGUGUACGGGGGAUCACAACGGCCCAAGGCCGCCUCUCGGCUGCGGGGGCAGCUGCUGUGGGUCCCAGACAGGCAGACGGGGGACCCGACCUGGCUGAGGCCAUGGUGAGGAGGGGGCUCUGGCCCACCCCACCCUGGGCCCCCUGCUUCCUGCUGCUCCUGCCCCACCGCCCCCCCCCUCCCAUCCCCUCCCCCCAGACACGAGGACAUUCACGCCAAGCUGUCGUGGAUUUGGUCUAAUGGAGCUUAGCUGGCUGAGCAGAUUGCUCUGGAGGGCGGUGGGCGGGGCUGGCCUGCACGGGGCUUUCUCAUCUUCCGGAGACAGAGCUUUGCAGAUCUAUCCGCGUGAUCUCCUGACAGCCCCUCAGGGAGCCCAGCCUGUGGGAUCAGGGCCUGGUCCCCACAUGCCCUGCGGAGGGGCCCCUCCAGCUGCUGUGUUCCCCGUUGGUGUGUGUCUCUCAGUGAGGGGUGUCCAGCCCCCUGUCCCUGUCCCUCUGGUGAACACCACAUCCCCUCCCUCCUUGUGUGUGGGGCCGGCCAGGGGAGCUGAAGUGGCAUUCUCAGGAUGAGGGAGGGUAGGGGGGACAUGGAGCCUGCUGGAUGCUCCCACAGAAGCUGGGAGUCUGAGAAUGAGGAAGGGUGGCUUGAUGGAGCGGUUCCCAGCAAAGCCUCAGACCCUCAGGCGAGCAGCAUCCCCCCGGGCUGUCCAGCAAGUGGCCCAGCCCUGAGCAAGCCCCGGCAGGGCCGGUUUCAGCACCACGGACAGCGGCCACCACCUCCUCGCCACUGCGGCCUCGCGUUGGGGUGUCUGUGUGGGGUGCAUUGGAGCCAUGGUCGGAGAGGUCAGGAAGUUGGCACCGAGAGCCUCAGCACAGGAUUGGGCCCCUCCUCCACACCCGCCAGGGCUGGGGGGCCAGCCGUGGCGUGGCUGCCAGAGGUGGUGCAGCCUUGGUUCAGCAAAGGCCUGAAGGGAAGCGGGGAGGUAUGAAAGGCUGGCGUCAGGCCAGGCUGGGCAGAAUAUGCUGGAAGGGCUCUGAGUGCGGAGUGUGGGGCUCACAGCGUGGGCAUGACGUCUAAGGGGUCUCCCGACAGACAGGAUCCCUGCCCCCGCCGCUGGUGGGGUCUCCAGCCCUGAGGGAGGGCCUGGGACCAGGGCGCUCAAAGAGUGUAGGUCAGAGGGCUCACUGCUGGCCAGACAGAGCCUUGCUGGCUCUGGGAUCCUGUGGGUGAGACCAUCUCAUUCAGCUUUGGACUCAAGCCCCCGGAGCCUCUGUGGCCAGGCCCUGGGCAGCACUGUGGGCCCCUCCCUAUGCAGGAGUCGCUGCCUCCUCCUGCUUGCGCAUCAGCUUGGCUUCCUUGGAUCCAUGGUGGAAAUUGACUCUAAUUUGCAGAAGUUGGUUCCAAACCUAAAGGAUUUUUAAUUAAAAUCCAGAAAACCCAUCUGUGUAAUUAAGUCUCCAGAAGUCACUGGGCUCUGGAUGGGUAGCUGGGUGGCACUGCCUGUCCUCAGCUACCCACUAAAGUGUGAUGGGGGAGGAAGGUGGCCUUGCUGAUGUGGGGGGCUGAUUCAGCCCUGUGACCCCUGUCUCGGGGGAGCCUCCUGGCUAUCCACAGGACCUGUGCUGCCUGUGAGGACCACACAUGCUCCUGUGCACUUUCCUUUACACGGACCGAGGCAAAGUCUCGGGGCCCCGAUGCAGGACCCUAGGAUCUCUUCCCUCCCAGGUGUGUGUUUGGGGUUGUGGGGGAGAGAGGUAGAGGCUACAGAGGCUCUAUCACUAGCAUAGUAGCCCCACAAGGGCAAGCGAUCUCAGUGAUGGAUG